AUGUCUAAGUCAGAGUCUCCUCAAGAGCCUGAACAGCUGCGGAAGCUCUUCCUUGGAGGGUUGAGCUUUGAAAAGACUGAUGAGAGUCUGAGGAGCCAUUCUGAGCAAUGGGGAACGCUCACAGACUGCGUGGUAAUGAGAGAUCCAAACACCAAGCGCUCCAGGGGCUUUGGGUUUGUCACUUAGGCCACUGUGGAGGAGGUGGAUGCAACAGUGAAUGCAAGGCCACACAAGGUGGAUGGGAGAGUCGUGGAACCAAAGAGAGCUGGUUCCUGACCACCAGAGAAGAUUCUCAAAGACCUGGUGCCCACUUGACUGUGAGAAAGAUCUUUGUGGGUGGCAUUAAAGAAGAUACUGAAGAACAUCACUUAAGAAACUAUUUUGAACAGUAUGGGAAAAUUGAAGUGAUUGAAAUCAUGACUGACCAAGGCAGUGGCAAGAAGAGGGGCUUUGCUUUUGUUACGUUUGAUGACCAUGAUUCUGUGGAUAAGAUUGUCAUUCAGAAAUACCAUACCGUGAAUGGCCACAACUGUGAAGUAAGGAAAGCCCUGUCAAAGCAAGAGAUGGCUAGUGCUUCGUCCAGCCAAAGAGGUCGAAGUGGUUCUGGAAACUUUGGUGGGGGUCGUGGAGGUGGUUUUGGUGGAAAUGACAACUUUGGCCAUGGAGGAAACUUCAGUGGUCGUGGUGGCUUUGGUGGCAGCUGUGGUGGCAGUGGGGAUGGCUACAAUGGAUUUGGUAAUGAUGGAAGCAAUUUUGGAGAAGUUACAAUGAUUUUGGCGAUUACAACAGUCGGUCAUCAAAUUUUGGACCCAUGAAGGGAGGAAAUUUUGGAGGCAGAAGCUCUGGCCCUUAUGGUGGUGGCGGCCAAUACUUUGCCAAACCACGAAACCAAGGUGGCUAUGGUGGUUCCAGUAGCAGUAGUAGCUAUGGCAGGGGCAGAAGGUUUUAAUUAUUCCCAGGAAACAAAGCUUAGCAGGAGAGGAGAGCCAGAGAAGUGAUAGGGAAGCUACAGGUUACAACAGAUUUGUGAACUCAGCCAAGCACAGUGGUGGCGGGGCCUAGCUGCUACACAGAAGACAUGUUUUAGACAAUACUCAUGUGUAUGGGCAAAAAACUCGAGGACUGUAUUUGUGACUAAUUAUAUAACAGGUUAUUUUAGUUUCUGUUCUGUGGAAAGUGUAAAGCAUUCCAACAAAGGGUUUUAAUGUAGAUUUUUUUUUUUUUGCACCCAUGCUGUUGAUUGCUAAAUGUAAUAGUCUGAUCAUGACGCUGAAUAAAUGUGUCUUUUUUUUUAAAUGUGCUGUGUAAAGUUAGUCUACUCUGAAGCCAUUUUGGUAAACUUUCCAAAAGUGUGAAGCUAGAAUUUCUUCA